CUCCUUAUGCAACAACGAUAAACACAGCAAAGUCUGGGGGCAGGAGCAUUACACCAAAGAAAGCACUAACUACACCGCAUUAGAAAAAUUACUCUUACUUACUGGUGAUUCAGAGUAAUGAAGAUAAAAUGCAUGUAAUAACUCAAAGCUCGGUCCUGUUUUUGUGGAUGAUCACAAUGACUUCCGUGAAAAGUCAAGAAAUAACAUGUGAAAUACCCGUGAUUGAAAAUGGUUUUGUGCACGACAAAAAACUGAAGUACAACGAAAAGGACGUCCUGCAUUUUACGUCAAUAAAAUGUAAACUCUCGGUGCCCCUUGAAGGAACCUCGUAUGAUCCUGCUUACAGAAAUGUGUUUUCACCU